UACGAAGGGGGCUAGCGUUGUUCGGAGUUACUGGGCGUAAAGGGCGCGUAGGCGGCCCUCCAAGUCGGGUGUGAAAGCCCACGGCUCAACCGUGGAAUUGCACUCGAGACUGAAGGGCUCGAGGACGGGAGAGGAUGGUGGAAUUCCCAGUGUAGAGGUGAAAUUCGUAGACAUUGGGUGGAACACCGGUGGCGAAAGCGGCUCACUGGCCCGGUUCUGACGCUGAGGCGCGAAAGCGUGGGGAGCAAACAGG
rnacentral:rRNA from 1 species